rnacentral:rRNA from 1 species
UACGAAGGGGGCUAGCGUUGCUCGGAAUGACUGGGCGUAAAGGGCGCGUAGGCGGCGAUCCAAGUCAGGCGUGAAAUUCCUGGGCUCAACCUGGGGGCUGCGCUUGAUACUUGGUUGCUUGAGUGGGGAAGAGGGUCGUGGAAUUCCCAGUGUAGAGGUGAAAUUCGUAGAUAUUGGGAAGAACACCGGUGGCGAAGGCGGCGAUCUGGACAGUGACUGACGCUGAGACGCGAAAGCGUGGGGAGCAAACAGG